UGGGUAAUUGUAAUUGUAACUUUGUGAUUCAGUUUUUGUGGAUUCAGGCCAGACGUUGGACCAAGCCAAUGCUCAGCCAGUCACUUGUUGUAUAACCAAGUGGUUUGACCAUAUAAUCCAACAACUGGAUUUGCUUGUGUAAACGCAAACCAAGUAAGAAGGAAAUGUGCUGAUUAUAAGGUGUGCUUCACCUGUCAAGAGGAAUGGUGUUCAAGAUGUAGGACACGCUGGUUUGACCGAGAUGACCCUAGUGGACUAGGAGACAUUGAGAUGCGGUCAUUAAUCCUGAUAAGAUAUCCGCUACAGAUCUGCCCCAAGCCCAUCGCCAUUGAGGUCGCAACUGAUGGUGGAGCCACUGUACUGCCGACUGAAAACAAUUUUCUAGUGUACGACUAACAGUGGCAUUCUCUGCUAAUAUUAUAAAUAAAGUCUACUGUUUAGAUUAUUUUACACUAUGCAAUCAGACAUCUCUAAAAAUCUUUGCAAAUUAAACUACUUUCAUGAACAGGUUUUAUAAAUAAUCUUAGCAACUGUUAUGUUUGUGCAGGUAUGAUCCAACACAGGGCUUUGCUUGUGUGAAUGCACAACA